rnacentral:rRNA from 1 species
GACGAACGCUGGCGGCGUGCUUAACACAUGCAAGUCGAACGGAAAGGCCCUGCUUUUGUGGGGUGCUCGAGUGGCGAACGGGUGAGUAACACGUGAGUAACCUGCCCUUGACUUUGGGAUAACUUCAGGAAACUGGGGCUAAUACCGGAUAGGAGCUCCUGCUGCAUGGUGGGGGUUGGAAAGUUUCGGCGGUUGGGGAUGGACUCGCGGCUUAUCAGCUUGUUGGUGGGGUAGUGGCUUACCAAGGCUUUGACGGGUAGCCGGCCUGAGAGGGUGACCGGCCACAUUGGGACUGAGAUACGGACCAGACUCCUACGGGAGGCAGCAGUGGGGAAUAUUACACAAUGGGCGGAAGCCUGAUGCAGCAACGCCGCGUGCGGGAUGACGGCCUUCGGGUUGUAAACCGCUUUCGCCUGUGACGAAGCGUGAGUGACGGUAAUGGGUAAAGAAGCACCGGCUAACUACGUG